rnacentral:misc_RNA from 1 species
GAUGAAGAACGCAGCGAAAUGCGAUAAGUAGUGUGAAUUGCAGAAUUCAGUGAAUCAUCGAAUCUUUGAACGCACAUUGCGCCCCUUGGUAUUCCAUGGGGCAUGCCUGUUCGAGCGUCAUUUGUACCUUCAAGCUUUGCUUGGUGUUGGGUGUUUGUCUCGCCUUUGCGUGUAGACUCGCCUUAAAAUAAUUGGCAGCCGGCGUAUUGAUUUUGGAGCGCAGUACAUCUCGCGCUUUGCACUCAUAACGACAGCGUCCAAAAGUACAUUUUACACUCUUGACCUCGGAUCAGGUAGGGAUACCCGCUGAACUUAAGCAUAUCAAUAAGCGGAGGA